UUGAGCUUGACUCUAGUCCGA
rnacentral:snRNA from 1 species